GGUUCUUUAUGUGAAUGCUUUCUAGUUGUCAGAUUAUGUUCCAACGAUCGAGGUUUCUUUGUGCUUCCAUAAGUUGCAAAUGAUCUUUUUAAUCAUAAAUUCUAGUUGAUGACUUUUGUCUGACGUGUACCCACCCACGUGUACCUGUGACUCCAAAAAAAAGUGAAAGCCACAAUAUAUAGAUCCCCCCCCUUGUAAUGUGCUAUUUGAGUUAUCUGGCCGUGUCGUAAUAUCGCCUCACCGAGGAAGACAUGGCACAGUUCCACAUUUGAUAGGUGGAGAGAAAUGCUAAACAGAAUGAGAAACCAUUACUCAUUCCAAUCACAUUGCAAUGCAGUCUCAGAAUCAGCUUCAUAUUUUUAUCUUGUUUUUCUUCCCAAAGAGGGUUUGAAGUUGCCUUUUCUCUGAAUAGGUUCUGAGGAAGAGAAGACAUACUUUGGAAGGGGGAAAAAAAAGCUUCCGAGGAAAGGAAAACCAGGAGUUCCUGCCAUCAGGUUCUGGUCCUGCUGAAAUUUCUGUCCUGACUGCUGUCCUUCGAUGGUGAACACUGAUAAGGAAGUGAGCCCACAUUGAAAGACUUAGCUUUUGUGAAACAGAAGAUUUUGGAGUUUUACAGAGAAUUUGGAUUAAAAAAAAAAAAGACUGAAUUUGUAAGGCUGUGGGAUUUUCUUGUUAGUAAAAUGUUUUCUACUG